rnacentral:rRNA from 1 species
AUUGAACGCUGGCGGCAGGCCUAACACAUGCAAGUCGAACGAGUGGCGGACGGGUGAGUAAUGUCUGGGAAACUGCCUGAUGGAGGGGGAUAACUACUGGAAACGGUAGCUAAUACCGCAUACCAUCGGAUGUGCCCAGAUGGGAUUCGCUAGUAGGUGGGGUAAAGGCUCACCUAGGCGACGAUCCCUAGCUGGUCUGAGAGGGUUACCAGCCACACUGGAACUGAGACAAGGUCCAGAAGCCGACGGGAGGCAGCAGUGGGGAAUAGUGCACAAUGGGCGCAAGCCGGAGGCAGCCAUGCCGCGUGUAUGAAGAAGGCCUUCGGGGUGUAAAGUACUUUCAGCGGGGAGGCGUUACCCGCAGAAGAAGCACCGGCUAACUCCGUGCCAGCAGCCGCGGUAAUUC